rnacentral:hammerhead_ribozyme from 1 species
AGCCGAAACGGUGGGUUUAACCGCCCACUGUCUGCCGGAGAUGGUCUACUGGCACUGAUGAGGCAGACUUCA